rnacentral:rRNA from 1 species
GAUGAACGCUGGCGGCGUGCCUAAUACAUGCAAGUCGAGCGAACAGACGAGGAGUUUGCUCCUCUGACGUUAGCGGCGGACGGGUGAGUAACACGUGGAUAACCUACCUAUAAGACUGGGAUAACUUCGGGAAACCGGAGCUAAUACCGGAUAAUAUAUCGAACCGCAUGGUUCAAUAGUGAAAGACGGUUUUGCUGUCACUUAUAGAUGGAUCCGCGCCGCAUUAGCUAGUUGGUAAGGUAACGGCUUACCAAGGCAACGAUGCGUAGCCGACCUGAGAGGGUGAUCGGCCACACUGGAACUGAGACACGGUCCAGACUCCUACGGGAGGCAGCAGUAGGGAAUCUUCCGCAAUGGGCGAAAGCCUGACGGAGCAACGCCGCGUGAGUGAUGAAGGUCUUCGGAUCGUAAAACUCUGUUAUUAGGGAAGAACAAAUGUGUAAGUAACUAUGCACGUCUUGACGGUACCUAAUCAGAAGGCCACGGCUAACUACGUG